rnacentral:rRNA from 1 species
UACGUAGGGGGCAAGCGUUGUCCGGAUUCAUUGGGCGUAAAGAGCGUGUAGGCGGUCCGGUAAGUCAGCUGUGAAAGUCAAGGGCUCAACCCUUGAAUGCCGGUUGAUACUGUCGGGCUAGAGUCCGGAAGAGGCGAGUGGAAUUCCCGGUGUAGCGGUGAAAUGCGCAGAUAUCGGGAGGAACACCAAUGGCGAAGGCAGCUCGCUGGGACGGUACUGACGCUGAGACGCGAAAGCCAGGGGAGCAAACGGG